UCUUUUCGCUUCCGACGGUGGGAGAGCAACGAAGAGAAAUGGCGAUCGCGAUCGUCCUCUCACCUCUCGUCCCUAAUCCUCGUCCAAACCCUAACCCUAGAUCUCUACCUCUCACCUCCCACAUUGGAGCGUCGGAUACGCAGAGAAAAUGGCGGAUCGGAGCUGCUUCUGCUGCUCCGGGAGUCGACCUUAAGGCUCUCGAAGCAGCGAUUGAGAAGAAGGACAGCGAUGCUGUAAAAGAGACCCUUAAUCAACUAAGCAAACUUGGUUGGGCCAAGAAAUGGAGUUCCCAGCCAUAUGUAUCACGCCGUAUGACAUCUUUGCGGGAGUUGACUACCCUUGGAAUAAAAAAUGCAGAGAACCUUGCAAUUCCAAGUGUGAGGAAUGAUGCAGCAUUUUUAUUUACGGUAGUUGGAACCACAGGAUUCUUGGGUGUCAUUGCUGGCCAACUUCCUGGGGACUGGGGUUUCUUCGUGCCAUACUUACUUGGAAGUAUUUCACUUAUAGUGCUGGCUAUUGGGAGCAUAUCUCCUGGUCUACUUCAGGCCGCAAUUGGUGGAUUUUCUUCGUUCUUCCCUGAUUACCAAGAGAGAAUUGCAAGACAUGAAGCUGCUCAUUUUUUGGUGGCCUACUUGAUUGGCCUUCCUAUCUUGGGAUAUUCUCUGGAUAUUGGAAAAGAACAUGUCAAUUUGGUUGAUGAGAGGUUGCAAGAGCUAAUAUACAGUGGUCAGCUUGAUGAUAAGGAGCUGGACAGAUUGGCUGUUGUGUCAAUGGCUGGAUUGGCUGCAGAAGGUCUGAAAUAUGAUAAAGUCGUUGGCCAAUCAGCAGAUCUUUUCACCCUUCAGAGAUUUAUAAACAGGAGCAAGCCGCAGCUAAGCAAAGAGCAGCAGCAGAGCCUUACCAGAUGGGCAGUAUUGUUUGCCUGUUCACUUUUGAAGAACAAUGCAGCCACCCACGAAGCCCUCAUGUCGGCAAUGUCGAAGAAGGCUAGUGUUUUGGAGUGUAUCCAGGCAAUUGAGAAUGCUGCUUAGAGUUUGCUUCUUUCAUCUUAACAAAUACAAACGCCGCUGUGGCACCUCUGUCGUGUAUUGUUUACACUCUCAAAGACCGACUGUCGUCUUAACUGUUUUUGGUAUCGCGCACAAUUUUUGGCCGUCGUUGCUUUCCACACUAACUGUAAAAGCAAGCCAGCAGCAGUGCUGUAUCAGGUUGGGGAUACAAAGGGUUGGGAGGCUUUAAAGAAAUCUCACCGUUAGGAUUGAUGGGGUUUAUAAUUUACACCCGAGAGGUAGUGCAUGUACAUUUAACAUUUACAGGUUUCUAGGUACUGUUUGGAUGUAUGAAUAUCUUACUCGGCAUAUUUUUUGAUUUAUUUAAAAA